UAAUGAAAUAGGUUGCCUAACUCGGAGAAGGGCCUUAGGCAAAUACUGGAAGCCAGAGUCCUAAUCCAAGAGGUCGGAAAGAUAAUAUAGCAGAAGCAGCCUCAUUUUCAAAAGCCAAGAGGAAAACGGAACACAUUCCUGAGCUCAUUCUCCUCUACUGCAGAAAGGCUUUGCCCACACAACAGAAAUAUGGCUCCUGGCCUCUCCAGCUAAGCAACUCCAGUAGAAAAAUUCCUUCUCGUGUUGUGUGUACAUCAGUACAAAGGGAAGGAUUCUGGCCAUUCUCCACGUAUGAUUGGGACAUCGGAUGAUUCUGGAGAGGGUUCCUGUAAGCCACAGCCCCAAAACAAACCCAUGGAAUAGGGGAAGGAAAGUUCUCCCUCAAAAAGGAUGCUGAAGAGCAAUAGUUUUUAAAAAUAUUCUUUACUACCAUUAAUCAAAUAAUAAGAGGCUUAUGGGCAGAAAUAUCAGCAGGGGAAAAUUAAGGCAGAGUAAUUGUUAGGACCACAGAACCUGGAAACAGCUUUCCUGGGUGAAUUCCAGCCUCACACUUAAGCUGUGGGACCAAAUUACAAGAUCUCUUUAAGCCUCACUUAUUUCACCUAUAAAAAGAGAGACCAAUGUUCCCUAUGUCAGUAAAUUACCAUGAGGAUUAAAUUUAUAUAAAAUGCCAAGCACAAAGUAAUGAUUAUAACGGUUGGCUAUUAGCUGCUUCUAUCACUAUAUUGCUGUUAGUAUUAAGAUCAUACAACAGGUACAUAGUAAAUGCUGGAGUCUGAACUAAAGCAAUGCCCCCUGAUGCCUGACCUAAAGUACUUCCUACUACAGUGUGAAUUAGAGCAGGUGAGCAUUGGAGAGCAGCAGGUAAAACAGUAGUGGAGGUGAGUUAAGCAGGAUUAUGCUGCUGACAUUUCUAGAUCCUUGCCAGAGGCCAAGUGUCCAGUGACCUCUUCUUUAUUUCUUACUUUAUAGUUACUAUUAUCACCCAUUUUAUAGAAUAGGAAACUGAGGCCUAGAAUGAUUAACUUGCCAGCAGGGGCACCCACCUAGGAGGCAGUGGAAGCUCUCCUUUAGGACCUUGCUGAGGCAUUCGCAGAAUAAGCAGGUUCCUUAGUGCUCUGGCUAGACAGGAUUAACGCUUGUUUCUUUUGUCAUUGCACUUGCCUAGUGGGCUGUCCAGCUCAUGGUUGGCACUCAGUCUUUUCAAAGAACAAAUGUCAACCAUGACAAUUGAUGAGGAAGAAAGCAGAAAAAUGUAGAACUCAGACUCCACCAAGAUGUAUGUUAGUUGGAAGUUAUAGAUAAGUUUCCCUCAAAUAUAUAACUGUCACUAUAGCCACUAUUUUAUGAAUUAGAUGCCUCACUUCCAGGCAAACUUGGAACUGAUUUUUGUUGCAAGAAUGAACUUAGAUCUACCUAAGACUUCACCAUUCUCAUUUUUUACAAUUCAGAAAUUUCAAAAUAAUAAGCGUAUGCUAGGUCAUCUGUAGACCUGUUUCUCUUUGUUACUCAAUCCCACAGUCUGACAGUCUGCUCUGAAUUUCUGUAGGCUGUAUCAUUCUGUACCUGCAGGAGAGCGGUGACUCAGCCUGUGGAAUAACUCCCUUUCCCUCAUUAUGACAUGUCACCUUUAUUUCAUUGCUGUGGCAUGUUUCUUGCCCUGUGGCUGAAAAACAAGGCAACCCAGUCAGGAAACCAAAGCAGAUUCUCUACUUCUGAGUCAAAGCGUGAGGUCUGCCAAUCUAGACCUGGAAGACAUGCUCUUACACCUUGCCUAAUCCUCCAAGGAAGUUGUUUUUCUCUUCUUCAACCCCAUCCCUUCCCUCCCACCAAGCCCCUAAGAAGGCAUAACCAUGGAGCUAUUUUUACCUGAAAA